rnacentral:rRNA from 1 species
AUUGAACGCUGGCGGCAGGCCUAACACAUGCAAGUCGAGCGGAGCGGCGGACGGGUGAGUAAUGCCUAGGAAUCUGCCUGGUAGUGGGGGAUAACGUCCGGAAACGGGCGCUAAUACCGCAUACCAUCGGAUGUGCCCAGAUGGGAUUAGCUUGUUGGUGGGGGAACGGCGCACCAAGGCGACGAGCCAUAGCUGGUCUGAGAGGCUGACCAGCCACACUGUAACUGAGACAGGGUCCAGACUCCUACGGGAGGCAGCAGUUGUGAAUAUUGGACGAUGGGCGAAAGCCUGAUCCAGCCAUGCCGCGUGUGUGAAGAAGGUCUUCGGAUUGUAGAGCACUUUAAGUUGGGAGGCGUUACCAACAGAAUAAGCACCGGCUAACUUCGUGCCAGCAGCCGCGGUAAUUC